CUACGGGGCGCUGCAGUGAGGAAUAUUGCACAAUGGAGGAAACUCUGAUGCAGCAACGCCGCGUGGAGGAUGACGCAUUUCGGUGCGUAAACUCCUUUUAUAUGUCAAGAAAAUGACGGUAGCAUAUGAAUAAGCACCGGCUAACUCCGUGCCAGCAGCCGCGGUAAUACGGAGGGUGCAAGCGUUACUCGGAAUCACUGGGCGUAAAGGACGCGUAGGCGGGAUAUCAAGUCAGGUGUGAAAUCCUACAGCUUAACUGUAGAACUGCACUUGAAACUGGUAACCUAGAGUAUGGGAGGGGGAGAUGGAAUUAGUGGUGUAGGGGUAAAAUCCGUAGAUAUCACUAGGAAUACCUAAAGCGAAGGCGAUCUCCUGGAACAUAACUGACGCUAAGGCGUGAAAGCGUGGGGAGCAAACAGGAUUAGAUACCCUAGUAGUC
rnacentral:rRNA from 1 species